GACGAACGCUGGCGGCGUGCUUAACACAUGCAAGUCGAACGAAGUGGCGAACGGGUGAGUAACGCGUAAUCAACCUGCCCUUCAGAGGGUGACAACAGUUGGAAACGACUGCUAAUACCGCAUACUGAAGGAGGGGAUUGCGUCUGAUUAGCUAGUUGGAGGGGUAACGGCCCACCAAGGCGAUGCUCCAUAGACGGUCUGAGAGGAUGAACGGCCAAAUUGGUACUGAUGCAAUGCCUCGACGCCUACGGGAUGCAGCAGUUGGGAAUCUUCCGAAAUGGACGAAAGUCUGACGGAGCAACGCCGCGGGAGUGAUGACGGCCUUCGGGUUGUAAAGCUCUGUUAAUCGGGACGCGGUACCGGAAUAGAAAGCCACGGCUAACUACGUGCCAGCAGCCGCGGUAAUUC
rnacentral:rRNA from 1 species